UUGAUUUGUUGAUAUUGAUAUAUAUGAUUGAAAACAAUGUAUGUAAAAGUUUUGGAUCAAUGAUUACCAAUAGCGUUGUAUAAUGGUUCUCCAGUAAUAGAGUCCCAUACAACUGUAGUUUCUCUUUGGUUUGUUAUACCAACUGCAACUAUAUCACUAGGAUCAAUGGAUCUUGUUCGACCCAUCCUUCUUUUGGACAUGAUUGUGAUAUCGAAACCUGAUGAUAUGUUAAUACUUCGGCAGUAUCCGCAGCAAAAACCUAAAAUAAUAGUACACACAUUAGUAAAUCAUUAAUAAAAAUAUAAAGAAUGUACAUCGAAUGAUGCGUUAUUUAUAUUUUUUGGAAGGAUCAAUUAAUCACCAAGCCAUUCCUCAAUAUAUUAGUAAAAGUAGAUUCAAUAAAUGUAAUGUAUAUUACGA